GACUCCGUAGCUCAGCGGUAGAGCAUCUGACUUUUAAUCAGAGGGUCCUGGGUUCGAAUCCCAGCGGGGUCACCA
rnacentral:tRNA from 1 species